rnacentral:rRNA from 1 species
AUGGCGAACCUGCAGUCUUCCGCCUCCGAGCCCUCCUCCUUCGCAGGGGCCUCGCCGCCGUCUCCCUCCUCAAUCGGUGGAGGCGCCGGCGGCGCUGCCUCGGCGGCGCAGGAGCCCAGGAAGAUGGCGUCGGCGGAGCAGCUGGUGCUCGACCUCUGCGACCGCGAGCUGCGCGAGAACGCCCUCCUCGAGCUAUCCAAGAAACGAGAGAUAUUUCAAGACCUGGCCCCGCUUCUCUGGCACUCUUUUGGCACAAUUGCGGCACUGCUUCAGGAAAUUGUGUCGAUCUACCCUGCACUUUCACCCCCAGUUUUGUCGGCAGGUGCAUCAAACCGAGUCUGCAACGCACUUGCACUUCUUCAGUGUGUUGCAUCGCACCCUGAUACCAGAAUCCCUUUCUUACAUGCUCAUGUGCCCCUGUUCUUGUACCCGUUCCUGAAUACAUUCAGCAAGACAAGGCCUUUUGAGUACUUGCGGCUUACCAGCUUGGGUGUCAUUGGUGCUCUUGUUAAGGUUGAUGAUACUGAAGUUAUUGGCUUUCUGCUGCAAACUGAAAUAAUUCCUCUGUGCUUGCGUACCAUGGAGAUGGGCAGUGAACUGUCAAAAACCGUCGCUACCUUCAUUGUCCAAAAGAUUCUGCUGGAUGAUAUUGGACUGCGUUACGUGUGUGCCACCCCUGAGCGUUUCUAUGCUGUGGGCAGCGUUUUAGGAAAUAUGGUAAUUUCACUUGCUGAUCAGCCUUCCACAAGGUUGCUCAAGCACAUUAUCCGAUGUUACCUCAGGCUGUCAGAUAACCCCAGGGCCUGUGUUGCACUGCAUAAUUGCCUCCCUGACAUGCUGAAAGAUGGGACAUUCAACAUUUCUCUUAGGGAUGACCCCGCGACAAGGCGCUGGCUCCAGCAACUGCUGCAUAACGUGACAGUGGGCGGCAUGGGAGGACCUGGCAUGGGGGUGCCUCCCCAGCCAGGCCUGGAUCACAUGAUGGGGAUAUGA